AAUUCUUUUGAAACAGGGUCUCGCUAUGCAGUUGGGACUCGUGGUUAUCCUCUGGCUUUCAGCCUCCCCAGCCCUGGGAUUACAGGCCUGCACC